AUCUAUCUGAUGAGUCCCAAAAUAGGACGAAACGAGCAUCCUGGAU
rfam:Schistosoma margrebowiei strain Zambia genome assembly, scaffold: SMRZ_contig0003250